AUGCACUACCUCCCUGGGCCAUGGCAUGUGUGUACAUACCCUGGGGAGGGGCCCCUGAAUUUUGGGGGCCCGGGGCGGCCGCCCCCCCUGCCCCCCCUCAGGGUCGGGCCUGCAACCACUCUACGAUGUCGCCUGGGAUGUCAUCCUCGUCGACAGCCCGCGUGGGUACGCGGCGUCGUCGCCGGGUCGGAUGUCAGCGGUUACACCGCGGGCGUGCUGGCGCGGGCUCGGAACGAGGAGGGUGCCUCGACGGACAUGUUGGUGCAUGACUACGAGCAGGAGAUGGAGCGGGCGUGCUCCAGGGAGUUCCUGUGA
rnacentral:rRNA from 1 species